AAUCCAUGGUUUGGACACUGUUUAAGCAGAAGUUUAAAUCUCUCCCAAACAUCUACUAAAGUUUCACCAUCUUUCUGCAUAAAAUUAGUGAUUUCUCCCCUAGUUU